GGCAUGAAUCCCACAGUGAAGAAAUCAGAAUACGUUGCUUUUGUGAGGGGCAGCUGCUGAUUUUCUCUGAGCUCUGUUUCCAGCCUUCACAUGCUCUGCUGUUCAUCACAGGGUAAAUUCUGACUAUAGGAGGUACUGACAGAAGAUUAGGGAAGAACAAGGGCUAAAUGUUUAUUGACUUCUUAAAAAAUGCUACGUGUCUUGCCAGACUUAGCUUACAAGUUUGGUUAAAGAGAGACUGACAUGAGCAUAAAGGAAGGGACAUUGAAAGAGGCAGAGAUGAAGGAAGAAAUUGUAACUUACUCCUUUUAUCCCACCCAUCAAAGGAAA
rnacentral:lncRNA from 1 species